rnacentral:rRNA from 1 species
AUGGCGUGGUGGAAGCUAUGUAUUCCAAAAAAUGAGGGAGGUAUGGGAUUUCGUGAUUUAUAUUCGUUCAACUUAGCUAUGCUUGCUAAGCAAUGCUGGAGGCUCAUCACUAAUCCAGAUUCCUUGGUUGCAGAAGUACUGAAAGCUAAAUACUACCCCAAUGGAACUCUUUUGGAUGCUACCCCAAAGAAGGGGUCAUCAUUUACAUGGCAAAGUAUUUUAAAGGACCUUGAUACAUUCAAGAAAGGUUACAUAUGGAGAAUUGGUACUGGUGAGGAGGUAAAUAUAUGGAGGGAUCCUUGGAUACCUUCAAGCUCAGAUAUGAAGGUAAUUACACCGAGAGGCCAAUCAAUUAUUACAAGAGUUUGUGAACUCAUUGAUCCGGUGACCGGGGAGUGGGAUGAACAGCUAUUACAGAGCCUUUUCUACUGUGAUGUUAGAAGAAUACUUCAGAUCCCGCUCAACACACACGCAUUUGAGGAUUUCAUUGCCUGGCAACCUAAUCACACCGGAAUUUUUUCAGUGAAAACUGCGUAG